UGCCUCAGUUAAAAAAAAAAUUGUUUUGUAAGAGGUUUUAAUAGGGACAUCUGAGGAGUCCCUACAAGGUACCAGUUAGAGAUUACUCUUUCAUUGGAAAAGAGUUGAGAAACAGUUGUAUUUGCUAUUAAAAUUUGUUUUGUAAGAGGUUUUAAUAGGGACAUCUGAGGAGUCCCUACAAGGUACCAGUUAGAGAUUACUCUUUCAUUGGAAAAGAGUUGAGAAACAGUUGUAUUUGCUAUUAAAAUUUGUUUUGUAAGAGGUUUUAAUAGGGACAUCUGAGGAGUCACUACAGGGUACCAGUUAGCGAUUACUCUUUCAUUGGAAAAGAGGUGAGAAACAGUUGUAUUUGCUAUUAAAAUUUGUUUUGUAAGAGGUUUUAAUAGGGACAUCUGAGGAGUCCCUACAAGGUACCAGUUAGAGAUUACUCUUUCAUUGGAAAAGAGUUGAGAAACAGUUGUAUUUGCUAUUAAAAUUUGUUUUGUAAGAGGUUUUAAUAGGGACAUCUGAGGAGUCACUACAGGGUACCAGUUAGCGAUUACUCUUUCAUUGGAAAAGAGUUGAGAAACAGUUGUAUUUGCUAUUAAAAUUUGUUUUGUAAGAGGUUUUAAUAGGGACAUCUGAGGAGUCCCUACAAGGUACCAGUUAGAGAUUACUCUUUCAUUGGAAAAGAGUUGAGAAACAGUUGUAUUUGCUAUUAAAAUUUGUUUUGUAAGAGGUUUUAAUAGGGACAUCUGAGGAGUCACUACAGGGUACCAGUUAGCGAUUACUCUUUCAUUGGAAAAGAGUUGAGAAACAGUUGUAUUUGCUAUUAAAAUUUGUUUUGUAAGAGGUUUUAAUAGGGACAUCUGAGGAGUCCCUACAAGGUACCAGUUAGAGAUUACUCUUUCAUUGGAAAAGAGUUGAGAAACAGUUGUAUUUGCUAUUAAAAUUUGUUUUGUAAGAGGUUUUAAUAGGGACAUCUGAGGAGUCACUACAGGGUACCAGUUAGCGAUUACUCUUUCAUUGGAAAAGAGUUGAGAAACAGUUGUAUUUGCUAUUAAAAUUUGUUUUGUAAGAGGUUUUAAUAGGGACAUCUGAGGAGUCCCUACAAGGUACCAGUUAGAGAUUACUCUUUCAUUGGAAAAGAGUUGAGAAACAGUUGUAUUUGCUAUUAAAAUUUGUUUUGUAAGAGGUUUUAAUAGGGACAUCUGAGGAGUCACUACAGGGUACCAGUUAGCGAUUACUCUUUCAUUGGAAAAGAGUUGAGGAACAGUUGUAUUUGCUAUUAAAAUUUGUUUUGUAAGAGGUUUUAAUAGGGACAUCUGAGGAGUCCCUACAAGGUACCAGUUAGAGAUUACUCUUUCAUUGGAAAAGAGUUGAGAAACAGUUGUAUUUGCUAUUAAAAUUUGUUUUGUAAGAGGUUUUAAUAGGGACAUCUGAGGAGUCACUACAGGGUACCAGUUAGAGAUUACUCUUUCAUUGGAAAAGAGUUGAGAAACAGUUGUAUUUGCUAUUAAAAUUUGUUUUGUAAGAGGUUUUAAUAGGGACAUCUGAGGAGUUACUACAAGGUGCCCCGGGACAAGACAUCUUCUAGACUGCCCCACAAAAACGACUCCCAGAAACCAGAUAACUACACGGGACAUGUGAGUUACAAGAUGAAAUUGCUAUUUGAAUGGACACUGGGAACACAUCACUGAAAUUACAAAGAGGCUUAGCCAUGUUUAUUGUUAUAAUCUUGGUAGUUAUUGACAUCAGUUCCUUGUGUUAUAUCUGGGGGUUCUUGCCAAAAAAUGAUGAAGAUAGAAUUUUUCAAGGAACAAAACCAGUCUUGAGAGGACACUAUUGGAUUUGUGCUUACCAGUCUCUGGCUGUGGGGUGGGGAGGGAGGUGUACCAGUCUCUGGCUGUGGGGAGGGGAGGGAGGACUACCAGUCUCUGGCUGUGGCGUGGGGAGGGAGGGGUACCAUUCUCCUUCCACUACCAGCUCUACGCCCACAUUCAGCUUGAAACAGUUACAGAAGAGGAGAUCUUCGCCCUCUUUUCCCUUAAAUAUUAGAAGUAGUGGGCAAGUGCAGUGGUAGCCUGGUAGGCCUGAGUCCAGUUGGUGAUGCUCUUUCCUGGAAGGGGUCAGUUAGAGAUUACUCUUUCAUUGGAAAAGAGUUGAGAAACAGUUGUAUUUGCUAUUAAAAUUUUUUUAGGUGUAUUCUGAGAUACCACCUGACACCUAUCAGAUCGGCUAAUAUGAC